rnacentral:rRNA from 1 species
GACGAACGCUGGCGGAGUGCCUAAUACAUGCAAGUAGGACGCAGUUGCGAACGGAUGAGUAACGCGUAGGUAACUGCCUAUUAGAGGGGGAUAACUAUUGGAAACGAUCGCUACUACCGCAUACUAGUAGAUGGACCUGCGUUGUAUUAGCUAGUAGGUAGGGUAAUGGCCUACCUAGGAGACGAUACAUAGCCGACCUGAGAGGGUGAUCGGCCACACUGGGACUGAGACACGGCCCAGACUCCUACGGGAGGCAGCAGUAGGGAAUCUUCGGCAAUGGGGAACCCUGACCGAGCAACGCCGCGUGAGUGAAGAAGGUUUUCGGAUCGUAAAGCUCUGUUGUUAAGGAAGCGGUACUUAACCAGAAAGGGACGGCUAACUACGUGCCAGCAGCCGCGGUAAUUC